UCUGACGGUCAUAGUAGAGGGGAAACACCCGUUCCCAUUCCGAACACGGAAGUUAAGCUCUCUUACGAUAUGAUGUGUACUGUGCAACUGCACGGGAAACUCAUGAAGCUGUCAGGC
rnacentral:rRNA from 1 species